rnacentral:rRNA from 1 species
GCCUAACACAUGCAAGUCGAACGGAGCCAUCUAAACAAUCCCUUCGGGGUGCGUUUGGGGAAGCUUAGUGGCGGACGGGUGAGUAACGCGUGAGUAACCUGCCUUUCAGAGGGGGAUAACGUUUCGAAAGGAACGCUAAUACCGCAUAACGUAUUUUUACCGCAUGAUAGAGAUACCAAAGAUUUAUCGCUGAAAGAUGGACUCGCGUCUGAUUAGCUAGUUGGAGGGGUAACGGCCCACCAAGGCGACGAUCCGUAGCCGAACUGAGAGGUUGAUCGGCCACAUUGGGACUGAGACACGGCCCAGACUCCUACGGGAGGCAGCAGUGGGGGAUAUUGCGCAAUGGGGGAAACCCUGACGCAGCAAUGCCGCGUGAAGGAAGAAGGUCUUCGGAUCGUAAACUUUUGUCUUCAGGGACGAUAAUGACGGUACCUGAGGAGGAAGCCACGGCUAACUACGUGCCAGCCGCCGCGGUAAGAC